rnacentral:rRNA from 1 species
UACCAGCACCCCGAGUGGUCGGGACGAUUAUUGGGCCUAAAGCAUCCGUAGCCGGUUUUACAAGUCCUCCGUUAAAUCCAGCUGCUUAACAGAUGGGCUGCGGAGGAUACUAUAAGACUAGGAGGCAGGAGAGGCAAGCGGUACUCAGUGGGUAGGGGUAAAAUCCGUUGAUCCAUUGAAGACCACCAGUGGCGAAGGAGGCUUGCCAGAAUGCGCUCGACGGUGAGGGAUGAAAGCUGGGGGAGCAAACCGG